GCGGAGGGCUGGAUGACCGCGGGCACCGGAGUAAUCCGGGGUUCGAGGAAAGUCCGGACUCCCGUUGGCAAGGGUGCCGGGUAACGCCCGGCGGGGGUAACCCCAGGGAAAGCGCCACAGAGAAGAGACUGCCACGACCCGCAAGGUUCGCCUUCGGCAAAGCGUGGUAAAGGUGAAACGGUGGGGUAAGAGCCCACCGCGGGACUGGCAACAGGACCGGCACGGCAAGCCCCACCCGGAGCAAUGCCAAAUAGGGGCCUCGCGGCAGGACAGGUCCCGGAUUUCGGUCCGGGAUACCGCUCGCCAGGGACGCCAACGCCCGAGAGGCCCGGGUUGGCAGCUUGACCGCCGUGGCAACACGGUUGGCAGAGGAAUGGUCAUCCAGCCCCGGAUCUCGGUCCGGGGGGGACAGAAUCCGGCUUACAGGCUCUCCGCGCAA
rnacentral:RNase_P_RNA from 1 species